CGCUGGAAAGUUGCAGCAAUUUGUGGAGGUUUUAAUGGCCUUUCCUUUGUCAGGGACACCUUACUCCUCUGAGCAAGAGGUGCUGGGCCUGUGCCAAGCCCAGAGGAAGCCAGCAAAGUCCCUGCAAGUAGCAACAGAGCUGAAAGUUGUCUUGGAGGAAACUGCUAGACCAAGACAGGGAUUUGUUCCUGCUUUAUGUACGUGUUCAGCCUGGGAAGUUGAAGUCUUCCAAGGAAGCAACCAAGUAUCAGCAAGCGGAUUCUGUUCCUUACUCCUGAGAAGCUAAAUCCAAAGAAAGAAAGACAAGAUUUUCUUCUGAGAUGUGAUGUGACUACAGACUCAGGUUGUCUGCUAUUUUUUUAUGUUGUUCCACCAGUUUAGAUAAUCACAGCUGCUUAUUCAAUACAUAGGUAAUCCUGUAGCAAACCAAUGCUAACACAGUUGCUCUUAUGCCACUUCUGGGUCUGGUAGUAAGGAUACCAACAGAGGAAUGAUGGUAACCCCAUGCUUCUUGUUCUUUGUCCGCCACUGAGGUCCACAGUGCCACAAUAAGAGUUCAGCUGCUUUAGGUGACAAUAAGGAAAGAAGUUUUAUUGCAGGUUGUAGGUACUCAUCUAAGCACUAUGUUGUGUGCUGUAAUUGCAGGCUGCAUUAGGUCAUGCUUUGUCACAAGGCUUACUCCAAACAGAAGUUACUUCCAUUGGAUUGUCCUUGCAGCAGCAACGUAAAUGAACAAGCAUGGGCAGCUUUGCCAGAAAUGUCUAAAACUAAAUAAUUAGUCAACAGCCAUUCAUGCAGCAUAUGACAGAAGUGCUAUUAUUGUCAGGGAGACUUCGGAGCCUGUGACUACAACUCACCACUCAGUCUGAACAGUUAGUUGAACAUAACAUACUUGUAAUAAUAUUUAAAGCAUAAUAUCUGAUACGCGUAUGAGAGUCCAAAUUCAUAUGACAUACAAGAAAAAACAAUGACUGUUACAUUAGAGACAUGAAUUCCUUUUAAGGUAGCUAAGUAAAUCGGCAGGUAGUUCUUAAAACUUGUUUGUAUACAAAUCCCUUUCUGCUGCUGGAGAUCCAGCAGCUCUGUUCAUACUUUAGGCAAAAGAGCUCACAAGCUGCCUACAAACCUCUAGUUUGUAGUUUUCGCAGGCGGGCGGAAAGAGCCCUCACUUAUUCCAAGUGCUCUGCAGCAUUUUGAAAAAAACUAAUGUGAAUCCUAGGGAUAGUGGGGCACAGUUCUGAUACUAAUAUGCCCUACACAAUUAAUUUGAGUGCAAGGCCAUGAUGAUGCAGCUAUGCUGUUGUGGGUUCCAGACAUACUUCCUCUGCAGUUAGCUGAGAUAUUUGGACAGUUUUCCACUGCCCAAUGUACAGCAUGUCCAAUGUUUGUACAGUCCUUAGCAAAAUAGGACUCUACUCUUGAUUGGCAUCAAAACAGCACAGUGAUUCUAAUUAUAAAUACCAGGGAAAUAAAUGAUCACAGAAGGCAUUUAAUGUAUUUUUUCCAGCAUGCAACAGCAAUACUAAUACGUACAUGAGCACAAUGCAAUCAGAUUCUGAUGUAUGCAAUAUAUUUUUAACACAAUGGACUUGAUCCAGACAUUUCUGGCACCAUCUUCUAUUGUCUUUCAUCACUUUGCAGUGAAGUCAUGUAGGGCACUCUGGACUUGAGGUGGCUGUGGUCUAGUGCUACAAUUAAUGUUGAAUAAAAAACAAGUUUGUUAGUACAGCUUAGAUAAUUGUUAGGCAAACAAAUAUUUGUUUGUGUAAAGAAACAAUCACUGAAUAGAUGGAACAAGACAUUUUUGUCCCUGUCUUCAUGCACUGUGCUGCAAAAUAAAUGCAGAUCUGGGAGAGAGA